GUGCCAGCCGCCGCGGUAAUACCAGCACCCCGAGUGGUCGGGACGAUUAUUGGGCCUAAAGCAUCCGUAGCCGGUUUUACAAGUCCUCCGUUAAAUCCAACUGCUUAACAGAUGGGCCGCGGAGGAUACUAUAAGACUAGGAGGCAGGAGAGGCAAGCGGUACUCAGUGGGUAGGGGUAAAAUCCGUUGAUCCAUUGAAGACCACCAGUGGCGAAGGCGGCUUGCCAGAAUGCGCUCGACGGUGAGGGAUGAAAGCUGGGGGAGCAAACCGGAUUAGAAACCCGUGUAGUCC
rnacentral:rRNA from 1 species